AAAGCAGACAAUAUCGUGCUACGGUGGAGUCGAGCCCGAGAUGUGGUGGAACCCGGGUCGGGAUGUGACAUGGUUAUACUAGGGUUUACGUAUUGUAACCAAGGUUCUAAAAGAUGCUAGUCGGGAGGCGGGCUGAGACCUAGUGCGUUUUAGAACAGUGAUUGUAACAUAUAUAACUACGAGUUACAAUUAAUAUGGUUAUUAGGGUUUUAAGUAUUGAAAAGUACUCAUGCUUAAUCACAUGUUAUAAUUUAAUCAACUCAUGCAUAAUCACAAGUUCAAUAUUAAUCAUCAACUCAUCUAUAUAUUAAGCGAGAGCCCCAAUUUGGGGUCACGCAUGGCGACAAUAUUUUGGGGUCACCCCAUUCGACAAAAAUAUUAGGAUAAAAUUGCCCCUCAACCAAAAAAAUCCAAAAGCAGCCCAAUAUAAUAUAUCAAAUAAUGCAGAGGUAAUUUGGUAAUUGGGCAUCAUAAAAUAUAAUAUAAAUAUAAGUGGGAAGAGAGAAAAGAAUAAAAAAAAUGAAAGGAUAAGUGAAAGUUGAUGGUGCCCAUGUGAAGGGGAAAGAAAAAUAUAAUAAAAAAUAAGGAAAAUCAUGAAUAUUAAGUUUAAAUAAUUUUAAGAGACGCAUAAUGCUGGUGAUAAAUUAAUAAAGUUUUUUAUUUUAUUUAAAAACUAGUACCUUAUAAUAGACUAACAAUAAUGUGAUUCAAUAAGAUGUUGUGAAUAGUGAUUUUGGUGUCACCAAGCCGUUCAAAACAUCUUAAAAAGUGUGUAAUGCCGGUUAUAAAAAAAAAUCUUUCACAUGCUGAUAAUAAUGUGAUUAAAUUACAUUAAUUAGUUGCCAAUUUUUUUUGUAAACAAACGAUAUUAUCUACACUAAAGGGGAGGGGGUGGGCUUAGUCUCACAAUGGGUUAUCAAUAAUGUGAUUCAAUUAGUUAUUCAUUCAAUAUUAUUUUCUCUAUUUUUAAACAUGUUCAAAACAUCUUAAGAGGCGUGUAAUGCCAGUUAUAAAAAGGUAUUUCGCAAGCGGAUAAUAAUGUGAUUAAAUUAGUUGUCAAAUGAUUAUUUUUUUUAUAUAACAAACGAUGUUAUCUACACUAGGGGGUGGUUUGAGAGUGAAGUGCUUAAAAAAAAAGCACACAUGAAAAAAAGUUGUGAGGGUUUUAGGUGUUUGGUAAACUGAAAAAAAAAGGUUAUUUUGGAAGCUGCUGUGAGAAUAAGCUGAAAUCAAAGGAAAAAGUUGAAGCUGCUAUUUGCAGCUUUGGAAAACUGGUUUUUUUUCAAAGCACACGGAGCUACAGUGCUCCUUUAAUGAAAAGACCCACUAUCAGACUAUUUUUUUUUCAAAAGCACUUUUACAAAAAAGUUUACCAAACACUCUGCUGAUUUAUUUCACAGCCGCUUAUUCUCACAGCACAGCCGCUUAUUCUCACAGCAGCUUUUUUUCAAAGCACAGCAAUACCAAACCAGGCCUAAGGGGGAGGAGGGGUGGGCUUAGCCUCACAAUGAACUAGCAAUUAUGUGAUUCAAUCAAUUGUUUAUUAAAUAUUAUUUUCUCUAUUCUUAAUGUAAAUUAUAUAGAGACCGAUUUAUUAUGUGAAUUCAGCUGCUUUAAUUGGUUUAUGAGGGGUCUUAAAUUAAUUGUCAAAUAAUUUUGUUUUUUAACAAAUGAUAUUAUCUACACUAAGGGGGAGGGGGUGAGCUUAGCCUCACAAUUGGCUAAUA
rnacentral:lncRNA from 1 species